rnacentral:rRNA from 1 species
UGGGGAAUAUUGGGCAAUGGAGGAAACUCUGACCCAGCAACGCCGCGUGGAGGAAGAAGGUUUUCGGAUCGUAAACUCCUGUCCUUGGAGACGAGUAGAAGACGGUAUCCAAGGAGGAAGCCCCGGCUAACUACGUGCCAGCAGCCGCGGUAAUACGUAGGGAGCGAGCGUUGUCCGGAAUUACUGGGUGUAAAGGGAGCGUAGGCGGGAUCUUAAGUCAGGUGUGAAAACUAUGGGCUCAACCCAUAGACUGCACUUGAAACUGAGGUUCUUGAGUGAAGUAGAGGCAGGCGGAAUUCCUAGUGUAGCGGUGAAAUGCGUAGAUAUCGGGAGGAACACCAGUGGCGAAGGCGGCCUACUGGGCACCAACUGACGCUGAGGCUCGAAAGUGUGGGUAGCAAACAGGAUUAGAUACCCUGGUAGUCCACACCGUAAACGAUGAUUACUAGGUGUUGGAGGAUUGACCCCUUCAGUGCCGCAGUUAACACAAUAAGUAAUCCACCUGGGGAGUACGACCGCAAGGUUGAAACUCAAAGGAAUUGACGGGGGCCCGCACAAGCAGUGGAGUAUGUGGUUUAAUUCGACGCAACGCGAAGAACCUUACCAAGUCUUGACAUCCUGCGACGAUGCUGGAAACAGUAUUUUCCUUCGGGACGCAGAGACAGGUGGUGCAUGGUUGUCGUCAGCUCGUGUCGUGAGAUGUUGGGUUAAGUCCCGCAACGAGCGCAACCCUUAUUGUUAGUUGCCAUCAUUAAGUUGGGCACUCUAGCGAGACUGCCCGGGUUAACCGGGAGGAAGGUGGGGAUGACGUCAAAUCAUCAUGCCCCUUAUGUCUAGGGCUACACACGUGCUACAAUGGUCGGUACAAUAAGACGCAAGCCCGCGAGGGGGAGCAAAACUGGAAAACCGAUCUCAGUUCGGAUUGUAGGCUGAAACUCGCCUACAUGAAGCUGGAGUUGCUAGUAAUCGCGAAUCAGCAUGUCGCGGUGAAUACGUUCCC